GACGAAGGGGGCUAGCGUUGUUCGGAAUUACUGGGCGUAAAGCGCAUGUAGGCGGAUUGUUAAGUCAGGGGUGAAAGCCCGAGGCUCAACCUCGGAAUUGCCUUUGAUACUGGCAACCUUGAGUGCGGGAGAGGUGAGUGGAAUUCCCAGUGUAGAGGUGAAAUUCGUAGAUAUUGGGAAGAACACCAGCGGCGAAGGCGGCUCACUGGCCCGUAACUGACGCUGAGAUGCGAAAGCGUGGGGAGCAAACAGG
rnacentral:rRNA from 1 species